rnacentral:tRNA from 1 species
GGGAUUGUAGCUCGUGGUACAGCGCUUGCCUCACACGCAAGACCCUGGGUUCAAUCCCCUGCACCA